GCCCGUGAAGUCUUCGGUGGUGCCGCCGAAGCAGUUCGAGGAAGGCGGAUGCGAAGGCUUCGGGGUUCUCGCCGGGUACUUCAGGGACGAUCGCCGUCGCGAGUGCCGCCCAAGACGGUACCUUUUUCAGCUGAAUUCUAACAGCAAAUUACCUCAGUCAUGGAAGGGCGCAAUGUUGCUGUUGGUCUGGUACAGAGAGAAGCCGCAAAGGUACGAUCGAGCCUGGAAAGAUGUCAGUGGAAGGAUUACUAUUGAGUUGCAACAUCAGGAAAGGAAUCGUGAGGAAUGUCUACGUUUAUCCAGCAAAGCAAGUUCCUGUGACAGCCAUCCACAGGCUUCCUCCCUGUUA